CGUGUAGGCGGGGCGGAACGUCGGUAACUGAAAGCCCCCGGCUCAACCGGGGAAGGGGUGCCGAAACGACCAUCCUGGAGGGACGUAGGGGGACCUGGAACUUCCGGUGGAGCGGUGAAAUGCGUUGAGAUCGGAAGGAACGCCCGUGGCGAAAGCGAGGUCCUGGACGUCUACUGACGCUGAGACGCGAAAGCUAGGGGAGCAAACG
rnacentral:rRNA from 1 species